GAAAGGUGACUCAGGAGCCUGGUCGGUAGGGGGGAUUCGCAGAGCGCUCAUCUCUGCCUUUUCUUAGUCUCUUCAUGCUUGGAUAUUUAUUUAUUUGCUUUAGCUGGAGACAGCAGGGAGGUGGGUGAUGCCUUUCUUACUCUGCAGCACUGGAGCCUGACCUGGGCCUGUUGGCUGGAUGCUCUAGGCCGACUAGCUCCGUGUGACCCCAGAGCCUUCCUCCAUUCUGGUCUAGAAAACACGCGGCAGAUUAGACCCCGUGUUCUUCAUGCAGCAACGGCAAGAUGAAAAUCUGUCAUAGAAGGGGGUUGGGGAUUUAGCUCAGUGGUAGAGCGCUUGCCUAGGAAGCGCAAGGCCCUGGGUUCGGUCCUGAGCUCCGGAAAAAAAAAGAACCAAAAAAAAAAAAA
rnacentral:lncRNA from 1 species